AUGCCCUACGGAUGCUCAGGUCCGCCGCAUCUCCUGGGACUUCGUGGGCUCGGCCAGCCUGGGAGCAGAUGUUGCCUCCUCAACGCUGCUCUCGGCUGGCCACCAA
rnacentral:sRNA from 1 species